ACACAUUGCUGGACGUAGUAAUACUAACGUAUUUUAUUCAAACAAAGGUUACAACAUUGUUGGGAUCAGCAGUCUUAUAUUCUACGUUUCAAGAAGUAUAAUUGAAUGUGCAUGUCAAUGUGCAAUCGAGGAAGGAUGCCGGACUUCAAGUUUUGACAACUCAGCACAAAAGUGCUACCUUUAUGUAACAGAUGUGUGUCCCGAAAUAAAAGCUUCACAGACAAGCUCUGUUUUAAAUAUUGGAAAAACAGAUGUUGAGUGCAUUGAUCCUUGGAAGGCUUUCAAAACCAAUUGUUAUUAUUUUGGGACGAAUUCCCUGUCAAUGAAUGACGCUCAGAAUUUUUGUGAAGCAAUGAAUGGGAAAUUAGUGAAGAUAGACAAUUCAAAUGAAAACGAAUGGAUUAAAUCAAUGGUACAAACAUUGGGGACACCUUUUAAUUAUUGUAUUGGUCUGCAGAAAGUCAAUAGUAAAUGGAGAUGGCUAUCUGACAAUUCUAUACCUGGUUUUACUAAUUGGAAUACUGGACAACCAUCAGGAGACGGAAGUUGUGUACGUCUUACUAACAACUUUGCUUGGAAUGAUAAUAGAUGUGGAAUUACAGCUAAAUAUAUUUGUGAAAAAUGUUAGUUUUGAUACAAAGACUAUGAUUAAUACACUGAGUGGCAAUAGCAAAGUUUAAUACAAAAAUUAAAAUUAAUAUAUCGAAUGUAAAUAGGAAAAGUUGAUACAAAAACUAAGAAUAAUAAACUGAGUGUCAACAGAAAAGCAACAUCAUUAUUUUUCCAUCUAGAAAGUUUUUACCAACAAAUCGUCUCUGAGAAUAGACUAAUAGAUGCAAUAUUUAAACCAACAGAUCUUCUUUUAUAUGACAGGUGAUUUCCAUUCGUUUGAUGUGUUUUCAGCUUUUGUUUUUGCCAUUUGUAAAGAGAAUUCAAAUUUAGAUUUUCCUUGGAGUUCGGUAUUUUUGUUAUUUCACUUUUGACUGUUGACCAAUAGUUUUGUAUGAUGAGCAGGUUGAAUGUUUCUAGCUAUUUUUAGAAACUAACGUUGUCAUAAUCCCAUUUCCAACAAACACAACCUGCACGUUGGAUAAACAUUUCUACCAUAAUGAACACUUCUAACAAUUAAAAUGAGAAAAAAAAUAAUAUGACAAACAGCAACAAACGACAAUCACUAAAGUAAAGGAUCCUGAUUGAAGAGAGGCACACAUAUAGAAUGUAGAGGUGUUAAAUAUGUUUGUUAGCGCUCAAUCUCACUAACCUGAAACACUGGUGUAACACCAGACUGUAAAAAUAAGUUGGAAAUGGCUAAUCUUCAGAUUGGAAAACACACAAAAGACCGAUUUAACAGUACUGACAGUUACUGAGAUCUAGUUCAAGGCUAAUUGCAACUAAAUUAUGUUCUCCCAGACUUAUGUAUCAAUGAGUACCGAUAAAAUAAUAUUCAAAGAUUUUACUAUGGUUGUAAAUAGAUAACCUUUUAAAAUAAGUUUAUUCAAAGUACUGAUGAGGUUACAGGAACAGUAAGAACUAUUUCGCAUUUCCAUUGACAAGGGGCUCAAAUGAUGUUGUU